rnacentral:rRNA from 1 species
GUGGGGAAUUUUGGACAAUGGGCGCAAGCCUGAUCCAGCAAUGCCGCGUGUGUGAAGAAGGCCUUCGGGUUGUAAAGCACUUUUGGCAGGAAAGAAAUAGCGCGUGCUAAUACCAUGCGCGAAUGACGGUACCUGCAGAAUAAGCACCGGCUAACUACGUGCCAGCAGCCGCGGUAAGACGUAGGGUGCAAGCGUUAAUCGGAAUUACUGGGCGUAAAGAGUGCGCAGGCGGUUUUGUAAGACAGGUGUGAAAUCCCCGGGCUCAACCUGGGAACUGCACUUGUGACUGCAAGGCUAGAGUGUGUCAGAGGGAGGUGGAAUUCCGCGUGUAGCAGUGAAAUGCGUAGAGAUGCGGAGGAACACCGAUGGCGAAGGCAGCCUCCUGGGAUAACACUGACGCUCAGGCACGAAAGCGUGGGGAGCAAACAGGAUUAGAAACCCUGGUAGUCC